UACGUAGGGUGCGAGCGUUGUCCGGAAUUAUUGGGCGUAAAGAGCUCGUAGGCGGUUUGUCGCGUCGACUGUGAAAACCUACAGCUUAACUGUGGGCUUGCAGUCGAUACGGGCAGACUUGAGUUCGGUAGGGGAGACUGGAAUUCCUGGUGUAGCGGUGAAAUGCGCAGAUAUCAGGAGGAACACCGGUGGCGAAGGCGGGUCUCUGGGCCGAUACUGACGCUGAUGCGCGAAAGCGUGGGGAGCAAACAGG
rnacentral:rRNA from 1 species